UCUAAAGAGGAUAUAGUACACAUUAUUAGACUCUACCGACGUGAUUUAUGUUUGCUUAUAUGCCAAAGGGAAAAACACCGAUUCAUGAUUUUCUUUUUUUUUUUGGAUUUUGAGUUUUGUUUUUCUUACAGCCACAUGCCAAUUGCACAAAUAGAUUGAAAUUGAUUGAUACAGAUAUAGUAUAUAUAAUUGGAUGUAUAUAUACUGCUUGUGUGUAUAUUUUGUAUGUACGAAAAUUUUGUAUAUACACAGGGUGUUGUUUUGUAAAGUUUUCGAGAAUUUAGAGUUGUUUUUGUUGUGGGUCAAGAAAGAGUAGGAGAGUACAGAGAGAGAGAGACAUUUAUAUUAUACGAUGAUACGUUCACAAUAGAUGUUCAGAGAGCAUACAUACCAGUUCGGAAGGGUACACGUAAAAUGAUUUUGAUUUUGUGUGUGUGGAAAGCAAUAAUGUUACAUUUAUCAACAUCGAUCGGCUAAAUUCAAAAAUCACAUUUAACAUUUAUACAAACAUUUCAAAGAGAACAGAAAAUGUAUGUACUAAACAAAGAAUAGAUAUGUUAAAGGAUGUCCUAACUGUUAUCAGAAAUUCAUAAACUUUCUGACUAUUGAAACUUUUGAGUAGGCUUUUAGUUUAAGAGGCACUUACACCAAAUACGAUACGCAUAUCGGUUAAGAUUAGUCGCAUGAAACGGUUAUAGACCGGUUAAGAAAUUGGUUUUAAAAGCUGAAUUGAAAAGUUGAAGAAGUCAUGCAGUGCCCAUAAAUAUUUUCAGAAUUAAAAUUUAAACGUGCGCAAGGGAAAAACAAAUUGAAUUAUAUUUAACAUUGAAAAAAGAUUUUGAUCUGAGAGUUUCGUAGCUGAAGAAAAGCUGAAAGCUGAAAAAUCGAAGGCUUAAUCUUCACCAAGACCUUGUGGAUAUUUAAUUGAGAAUUGUGCUUUAAGAAGCUUCCAAAUUCUGGAAUGUAUUUUGAAAAAUUAGUGAUAAGUAUAUUUUCAACUGUUGGAGAAGGGUUGGACAACAGAGAGCAAGGAACAGAUAACACAAAUAAAUCAAAUGAAUUCAACAUCAAUAGAUAUUGGUUGUCGGACACACAUGCUCUACAACCUACCU